GCGCUGGUGCUGGAAUUGGCAGACAGGCAUGCUUGAGGGGCAUGUGCCGCAAGGCGUCGGGGUUCAAGUCCCCGCCAGCGCA
rnacentral:tRNA from 2 species